AUAAGUGACGCUACCCUUCUUCAAACGUGGCCGCUGGGUUAGCAGUCACUGAACCACAUCUGACUCUGAGCUGGGCCCGUCACUGAGAAACCACACUCACUUCCAGAUGGCCUCCGCUCGUUAAGCAUUAGGAGAGUGCAGGUGUGUUGCAGACACAGACCCUGAUGUACAGAAGCACCAAGGGAGGACUUCUCGCUCUUACUUGGGACUUUGGUUUGGAUUCAACUCCUGAGGCUUUGAGGGUUUUUUUGAGGUCACUAAAAACCAACCUCCACAGUGAAG